rnacentral:rRNA from 1 species
AUUGAACGCUGGCGGCAGGCCUAACACAUGCAAGUCGAACGAGUGGCGGACGGGUGAGUAAUGUCUGGGAAACUGCCCGAUGGAGGGGGAUAACUACUGGAAACGGUAGCUAAUACCGCAUACCAUCGGAUGUGCCCAGAUGGGAUUAGCUAGUGGGUGGGGUAACGGCUCACCUAGGCGACGAUCCCUAGCUGGUCUGAGAGGAUGACCGCCAAAACGGGAACGGGGAAACGGUCAAGACUCCGACGGGAGGCAGCAGUGGGGAAUAUUGCACAAUGGGGGAAAGCCGGAUGCAGCAAUGCGGCGUGUAGGAAGAAGGCCUUCGGGUUGUAAAGUACUUUCAGCGAGGAGGCGUUACUCGAAGAAGAAGCACCGGCUAACUCCGUGCCAGCAGCCGCGGUAAUAC